GCAACUUUUGGUUCGCCACAUUUUGGGAGCUACAUCUCCCCUGAUGUCUUGCCAGAAUUAUGGCUGUCACAGCAUUAUGGGAAACUUAGUUCACAUCAUCUGGAGUGCCGAAGGUUACUUACCCCUGGUACGGAUCAUGUCAUUGCAGCCUCACUGCUUAAUUCGCUGCUAUUUAGGAGGUUAAUCACUUUUGUUAAACCAAACGCCACAAUAGGGUAAUAUUGCUUUUUACAAACUAGAGUAUUUAUUGGUUAUUGUACUCGCAGUCCCAGAAGAUAA